rnacentral:rRNA from 1 species
UAAUACGGAGGGUGCAAGCGUUAUCCGGAAUUAUUGGGCGUAAAGCGUGCGCAGGCGGCGCGAUCAGUCUGUGGUUAAAUCCGGUGGCUCAACUGCCGGUUCGUCAUGGAAACUGUCGCGCUCGAACAAGUCAGGGGCAAGUGGAAUUCUCGGUGUAGGGGUGAAAUCCGUAGAUAUCGAGAGGAACGCCAAAAGCGAAAGCAGCUUGCUGGGGCUUUGUUGACGCUGUUGCACGAAAGCGUGGGUAGCAAACGGGAUUAGAUACCCCGG